GUUGUGGCUCAGUGGUAGAGCACUUGCCUAGCACAUGCGAGGCCCUGGGUUCAAUUCCCAGUACUACA
rnacentral:tRNA from 1 species